AGCCAGUCGUGGUGCAUUCUGGGAUACAAAAUGGCUCCUGUGCUUGUUAGCUACAGCUAACCUACGGCGCAUCAGUGUGUGGAUCCAAUUUUGUUGCGUUGUCAAGGUGUUUGUGGUUAACUACUACCAUGUCAACAAAAGCAGAGUGCAGAGUGUCCAGUUCCAGGACAGAUGACAAGAGCCGAGGCAAGUGCUAUAUUAUAGUGUGCAGAUGCAAACUUCAUUACUAACGUGGUUUUCAGAGGAUUUGUGCAGCGCUUGCCGUGCAUCAGUAAUCUUCUGUUUAUGCAGGAAGAGAAAAGAGAAAGCGAAAACGAAGCCGUAGUAGAUCGUCCUCGUCCUCCUCUUCCGCGUCACCGUCAUCUUCAUCUUCAUCCUCAGCAUCGUCGUCGUCGUCGUCUUCUUCGUCGACCAGCUCGUCACAUUCGUCCAUUCGCAGCCGGAGUAGCUCCAGAAGUAGCGACUCUCGCAGUAAGUCCAGAAAGCAGUCUAAGAAAAGGAAAAAGGACAAACACAAAAAACAGAAGGGCAAGAAAGAGAAGCGUCAUAAACGUAAAAAGGACAAGAAAUCAAAAGGCGGUGAAGAAAAUUCUGGGCCUGUUCAGAUCUCUAAGUACUUGAAGGAAAGGAAGAAAGGCGGCAAGUACAGCAUGAUUUCAGGAAAGAAGAUCAAGAUGAAAGUAAAGAAGUCAAAGAAAGAUAAACAGCGGGACAAAAAUCGAGCCGAACUUCUGGAAUUUUUGAACUCUACUUUGUGAUUCCACUGUGGACCCCGCAGUAGUGGACACAGCAGCCGACCUCAGGAAACAGACCGAACGGGAGUAAACAAACAUUUUUGUCAAAAGAGACACAAUGUGCAGCAUUAUGAGCUGAUGUUGUAAUAGCAAGACUGAAUUGAGACCAACAUAGCUCUAUUAGAUGUUGUUGGUUAUGACCAUGUGCACUCACUGGCCCCAACAAUAGGUACACCUGCACAAUCCAAUCGCAAUGAUGUCAUAGCAAAGAUAAUAAUGCUCAGAUAUGCCUAAUGAAGUGGUUAGUGAGUGUCUCUGUCACUCGUGUCAACAGAUGGUUUACUAUAAAGUCACUACUGUGUCAGUAAUUACCUUUUUUAUAAUAGUUUUUAAUGUGACGUUCGUGCAUUCCCUCUGUAGUAUACCGUAUAUCAGUUGAUCCAUUUCAAAAACUGACUGAUGAUCUUCCUGUGUCGAACCAGUCGAAUGCAUUCAUGGAGCUGUCAGACAAAAAUAAACCCAUCAAAUGUUC